rnacentral:rRNA from 1 species
CCCUUAGAUGCUCUGGGCCGCACGCGCGCUACACUGGUCGAUGCAACGAGUUUCUUUCCUUGGCCGACAGGCCUGGGCAAUCUUUGAACAUCGAUCGUGAUCGGGAUAGAUUCUUGUAAUUUUUGAUCUUAAACGAGGAAUUCCUAGUAAACGCAAGUCAUCAGCUUGCAUUGAUUACGUCCCUGCCCUUUGUACACACCGCCCGUCGCACCUACCGAUUGAAUGGUCCGGUGAAAUCUCCGGACCGGCGUGAGUCGGAGCAAUCUGACAAACACCGGAAAGUUGAUUAAACCUUACCAUUUAGAGGAAGGUGAAGUCGUAACA